CUUUUUUUUUUUGUUCGUGCAAAGCUGCUGAUCUUUGUUAUUGUCUCAUAUGUAAGUGGUUAGCAUAAAAUAAUAUUAAUUUCUUGAAUAUGCGUUGUAUAUUUUGGUGACCAUAUACAACUACUUACAUCGAUCUUGUAAGAAUUGCACAUAGUAAAGUAAAUAUAUCACAAAUCAUAUGUCCGAUAACUUCAUCUAUUUAUAUAUUUAAUGAUGAAAAUUGUAGUUUGAUAAAAAAAAUAAAAAAAAUAAUGAUGAAAAUUGUAGAAACGAAAGUAUUUUAAUCGUAAAAUGGAAAAAAUUGUUAGAUUUUUAUUGAUCAUUUUUUGGUAGUUGCUAUACUGUUUAUAGGUUUUAUAUUUAGUUGUGGAAAUAAUUUAUAACUAUAACAGAAUAGAUUAUUCAUGUAAUGACAUAGAAACAGUUGUUUUCACUUUUCUUGUUUUGUCUUGGUGCCGUGGUAGAUUUUGAUAAUAAAAUUAGAGUGUUGAUUAAUUUAUAUUUGCCAAAACAAAAUAAACAAAUAAAUAAUUUCAAGUUGACCAAUUCAUAUUUCUUGAUGGAAAACACUGAUCUCUUCUCUUCUAUUCUUUCUUUCUCUUAUGAGGAAUUUUCACAAUCUUUGAUCAUCUUCUCCUUUAUUCUACGGAAGAAAUCUAUAUAUUCUAUAUAUGGAAAACAUCAAAAACCCUAAAAACGCAGAUGAUUGUUCCGAUAGCAUAUCAAAAAACAGUCAUCAAGGCGUUGAUGAUUCCCUGAACCAGUCAAGAUCUUACGUAUGCAGUUUCUGCAUAAGGGGCUUCUCGAAUGCUCAAGCACUAGGAGGGCAUAUGAACAUCCACAGAAGAGACAGGGCUAAACUCAGACAAAAGCUUAUGGAAGAUAAUAAGGAUGAUGUCGUCGCCGAGAGUGAUGCAUCCGAAGUUGUGUCUCUAGACCUUAAUGAACAACAACAACAACAAGGAGAAGCUUUGACAUGUGAUGAUCACGAUCAAUAUGUUGAUAACGAUAUAAGUCCUAAACAGAAAUUAGAGUUUUGGGUUCAAGAAAGCAAGCUUGAUACUAAUGAUCAUGGAAAGGUCACGGAGGCUAGCAUAGAUGGUUCGAGUUCGAGUCAUCAUCGUGAUAUUGAAGUAUUGGAUCUCGAGCUUCGGUUAGGCCAAAGCGUCGUAAAGAAGAAGACAACAUAGUCUCUGAACGAUGAAUCAUAUAUUGAUUGCAUUGUAUCAAUGGGAAAAUCCCUAUGAAACACCAAACUCUCUAAUCCGUCUAUUACAAAUGGAUUCGUGGCUCAAAUUGUAUUGUAAGGUAUGCAUUUGUAUCUUAUUGCUACCAUUAUCGUUGUUGUACCUUGUAUUGAUAUUUGUUUCCUUGCUUGGGUUAAUUUCACCAACAACUUUUGUAAAUGACAUACACGUCCAAACAAACAAACAUAUAUAUAGAAAUUAUAUAUAUUUGGUGUUUGCUUUAUAGUUGUUUAGGGAAAAUGAAUAACUAAUAAGCUUAACUUAGCUCAACAUUAUUGAUCUGGUCAUGGUAGAGACUAUUCAAACUUGUUCACUGAGAAAUAUUGUUACAGUUGAGUUAUAUAUUGGUAGUCGUCCUCAGAUUUUCGAGUAAGCAUUUGCCAAUUAUGACUCUUAUAUUCGAGAUUAGCACUCAACAUUUAAUUAUAUGUUAGCAAAUAGUAUAACAUUAGCUAGCAAACUUAUAAACGAUAAAUUUGACCAAAACAACAUAAACCAAGGUCACUUUAUCUACUUUUUGUUCUCUGAAUUCUGAAAACGAAUUUGAAUAUCGUAUUCUAACAGUGAAUAUUGCAUUUAUACUAAAAUUUACGAUCAUAGCCAUAAAUAAGUAGUUAUGUAUAGUCAAACUAUAUGUAGUUAUACAGUACUUUAAGACGUUUGAACCGCUAAGAUUCCCAUAAUCUGCAUGAUAAUAUAAUGUAUGUAAACUGAUACAUGCACAAUUGCACAUGAUAAAUAUAACUAAAUUGAUACAUGCCGAUUUGCGCAUGAUAAUUAUAAUUAUAUGCUCUAUAACAUGUUAGGAUUUAAAAUGAAAAGAGCAAAUGGUUCAAGGCUGCAACUUGGUGACGCCACCAAUGAUGACCUUUUACGUCUUAACCACGUUCCGGUUUGGUUCGAGAACUUGUUUGAGAUCCGCUUUGGAUCUAAAUUCAGAUUGGUUUUAUUUGAGAUGCCGUGGAAAAUUGGAUAAUUUCCACCAGAGAUAUAUGAUUUAAUUAAUUGGAUUUUGGAUUCGAUUAUAGUAAACCGAUAAUAGUGAGGCAGUAACGAACAAAACAACUUCAACCGGAUCAUUGGGUUGGUUUAGUUUACUAAUUGAACCGGUUUGAUAAUGUUUAAAAAAUAAACAAGUGACAACGAAGACCAGCAGGUCCAGCACACGAUCCUAAAUCCUGUGAGCAUCGUCUCCAUCGCUGGUCUUCCAUUAUUGACGAAUCUCUUUGCCUUUUUUUCUUCCUUCUUAAACAAACCCAAUUCGAUUUCAACGAACGCCUCUUCUCUCUCACUCUCUUUCGAUUUGUUCUUUGCCGGAGCUCGUAGUGUAAGCGUGAUCCGCGGCGGAGAGAUGGCUCCUAAUGAUCCUAAAAAAGCCGUUGGUGGCGGCGGAAGUGGUUUCUUCGCCUCUCUUGCUUCGUCGAUCUCCAAUUUGGGAUCUGCUAUGACCAAAUCAGUUAAUGGGUGAGGUUUUUGAGAUCCCUUUUCUUAAACCCGGAUCUGCCACUCAGCUCGAUUCGUCAUUUUGAUUUGAAAAAUGGAAACUUUUUUGCUUUUGGUGUCUCCUAUGUUUAGAUCUUCUUCUAACGUAGAUUGUUAUUUCUCCCAAGUCUGCUUCUUUGGAAUUGAUAUUAGACUAGAGCUUAACUCACAUUUCACAUAGAUGGAGAAUUUUGAUGCACUUCUAAAAUGGGCUUUGCUUAAAGUUAAGCUCUUUUGAACGAUUCGUUGUGUUUUGAUUUGCUUCUCAGUUUGGUUCCCUAUGAGGGACUUGAAGUUAUCAAUCCUGAAGGAAGUACAGAUGAUGCUGAGGAGGAAGCAAGCAGAGGAAGAUGGAAGCAAGAGGUAUAUAUACUUCUUCCUUUACUAUUGUUGUUGUUGACAUAACUGUUGAUCUAAUCAUCUGAGAAAUAUACACAAUUCUUAGGAUCGAGAUGGCUAUUGGAAGAUGAUGCAGAAGUACAUAGGAUCUGAUGUUACAUCAAUGGUGACCCUUCCUGUGAUUAUUUUUGAACCAAUGACAAUGCUUCAGAAAAUGGCGGAGGUUUGUGCUCAUGAUCACAUCUGAUGAUUUGUUCCUGUCUGAUAUAGUUUUGUAAUCCGAUGAUGCCAAUGAUAUGUGCUCUGUUUCUGGUAGUUGAUGGAAUACUCGCAUCUGCUAGACAUGGCAGACAAAACCGAGGACCCUUAUUUGCGCAUGGUGUAUGCAUGUAAGAACAUUUUCCCUCCUUUGAUUUCUUCUAUGAUCAGUAUCUGUCCUGCGUGGCUAACUUGUAAGAAUUGAUUUUUAACAGCAUCGUGGGCUAUAUCCGUGUAUUAUGCUUUCCAACGUACCUGGAAACCAUUCAAUCCAAUCCUUGGUGAGACUUAUGAGAUGGCUAAUUACAAUGGUGUUAACUUCAUAUCUGAACAGGUCAGGGCCAUUUCUUUAAAACUCAAAUAAAUGUCAACGUGCUAUACCUGGCAACAUCUCACAGAUGGUUGAUACCAAUGGGUUUGUUCUCAGGUCAGCCAUCACCCACCAAUGAGUGCUGGUCAUGCUGAAAAUGAGCAUUUUACGUAUGAUUGUACUUCAAAACUGAAAACAAAAUUUUUGGGCAAUUCCAUUGACGUUUACCCAGUAGGAAGGUACUUCUGCAAAACCACAGCACGGGCUGAAACUCUAUAUCCUGAAUUUCAGAUUCUUCAUUUGUACAUUAUCCUGAACCUUAAAUGCCAUGAAUCUAUGAUUGUAGGACACGGGUGACACUUAAAAGAGAUGGAGUUGUUCUUGACUUGGUACCUCCUCUGACCAAAGUUCACAACCUAAUCUUUGGACGAACUUGGGUCGAUUCGCCUGGGGAAAUGAUCAUGACAAAUCAGACCACCGGUGACAAAGUCGUGCUUUACUUUCAACCAUGUGGCUGGUUCGGGUAAGUUUUUUUCACUGCAACCUCAUUUCCUGUUAUAUUUUUUCCAUUCAAAGCUGAAGAAAUGUGCAUUUAUGGUCUCUACAGAUCUGGUCGAUAUGAAGUGGAUGGAUAUGUCUAUAACGCCUCUGAGGAGCCUAAGAUACUCAUGACUGGCAAAUGGAACGAGUCCAUGAGUUAUCAGCCGUGUGAUGGUGAAGGUGAACCUCUCCCAGGCACCGAACUGAAAGAGGUUUGCCAAAUCUUCCUCUGUCAUUGACUCAAUUCUCUUUUUGUAAAAAUCUCAGUUUGAUGAAACAUUUUAAUGCUGCCUUUUGUUCAUAGGUAUGGAAACUCGCUGAUGUGCCAAAGGAUGACAAAUAUCAAUACACUCACUUUGCUCACAAGAUUAAUAGCUUCGACACUGCCCCGAAAAAGCUGUUGCCCUCUGAUUCACGGUUACGACCUGAUAGAUACGCACUUGAGAUGGGCGACAUGUCCAAAUCAGGCUAUGAGAAGAGCAGGUAUGGUAGCAAAAACUUGUCCUUAGGAUCUGAAAUUGAAGUAAAAGCUAAUAAAUUGGGAUUUUUCUAAUUCUUCUCCUCAUCUUUGAUAUGAAGCAUGGAAGAGAGACAGAGAGCUGAAAAGAGAACCCGCGAAGAGAAAGGCCAAGCCUUUACUCCAAAAUGGUUCGAUGUAACGGAAGAAGUCACUGCUACACCAUGGGGUGAUCUGGAAGUUUACCAAUUCAAUGGAAAGUACUCGGAACAUCGUGCAGCUGCGGAUAACUCUGAAGAUAACACCGACCCUAAGUCGAUCCAAUUCAACCCAUGGCAAUUCCAAGAUCUGUCUACUUAAAUGUAUCGCUCCAAAAGACAGAAAAGAUCAAAUCUUUUUGGAAACAAAUGUAUUCUUAUUCUCUCGUAGUUACAAAAAACUUUGUUCUACAUCUGCUAGCUUUCCCAUUGCUUUCUCUAGUAUUAGUGUACAACUUCUACUGUUUUGUCUUAAAUUCAUUCAAAUCUUUCUUUGAUCUUCGUCGUCAUAGUUAUCUUCUUCUUCUUCGUCUCCUUCUCGGAGCUUGAUCCCACUCUCACCAAACCAUCUUGGAGGAUCGAACCCAGAUCCACCAAGAGGAUUGCAGCGACAGAGACGCCAAGUUGUGAGAACAGUGCCUUUAAGAACUCCAUAUUUCUUGUAAGCUUCCAUUGAGUAUUCACUGCAAGUCGGAACGUAACGGCAGCUUCUAGGUAACACCGGCGAUAUCUCUCCUGUUUUUCACCGGAAAACGCUAGUUAACCACCGGAAAAACACUCGUACAAACCCUAAAAUCAGAAUCAGAUGAUGAAUUACUCUUGUAGAAUCUCAGCAUUGCUAAAGCUGCUUUGACUCCCACACUCUCCAGCUCUUCCCCAUCUGAACUCAACCCAAUCAAUUAUUUGUUACAAAAGAUACAAACUUUAUUAACCCCGAUUUAUGGAUAAGAGAAAGAGAGACCUUGAGGGGAUGCAGGGUCUGGUUUCGAUGGCGUCGAUUUCGCAGAUAAGCAACGGAGCUGAUUUUUGGUGUUCCGAGGAAGAUGAUCAAACCUCAGGCAGGAUUCGUUGAAUUGUCGGUGAGGUUUAAGAGGAUUACGAUUUUUAGAGAUUGUGAGGGUUACAUAAGGACGAUGGAUGGAGAUGACGACCGCCAUUUAAUGUUAAGCUCAAAACCAAGUUUCCAAUCUCGCUAAAACAGAAAACUCUGUUUCUCUGUAUGGAAAAACGACCCAUUACCGACUAUUUAUAUUUUUGUAUUAAAAAACAACACUGUGCUAUGCAUAUAGUGUCGGAAUCCAGUUUUUGUGGUGAAGAAUUGUAUAUGACACGUUAGAGAAAUUUGUACGAACGAAAAAUGCAUCUGAAUACGGAGCACAUCCACAAAGAGUCAUACUUGAUCUUUCACUAUGACCAGAUUCUGAACAGAGGAAUUCUUCAGUUGAUUGGUGUUGAUGUUGGAAAAGGGCUUGAUCUUCCUCUCUAAUUCUGAUCUUCUUCUUCGUCUUCCAAUCUGGUCAUACAAAUGUCACAAACUCUUUUGGCUUUUUUUCUAUACAAAGUGCUUACAGCUAUAAUUCUGCAUAGAAACAAAUACAUAUUGACAACUGUGUCUGAAUCUGAUAACAAAAUAUGAAAGCCUUAAAUUAUCGUACAAUGAUGUCUUUUCGCCUGUUAAGUGGUAUGUAUAAUAAGCAUAAUCAGCUUCUGAGUUCUGUAUCCACAACCUAACUUCCUUUUUGAGGAAUCCAAAGAAAAACAAGGAAAAUACCUAACCGAUACCAUAUUUUUCACAAAUGGAUGCUCUUAAUCCAGUUACAAGGAUGCGAGAGGGAGAACCUUGCCAAGCAGAGUCUAGUACUGAUUACGGGCCAGUCUUGGUUUUAAGCUGAGGCGCCUAAAAUGCUUGAAAAAGGACGAGCCAGUGUGCUGUGAAGUUCAAAAUCUGCUGCCUUUUCGGUGGAACUCCCCAGAAAAAGGUAUACAUGAUUUGGGUCUUGGCUAAUGUUUUGUUUCAGAUGAAUCAGGGAUUGAAUCAAAAGCUGUACGAAAACGCACACCAGAACCGAUAUGCCUUGAUGUAGGGCAGAGCCAAGAAAGUAUGUUCGGACCCAAAAUCUGUAGAAGAAACAGUUAAAACUUGACAUAGAAUAAACCUUUGACUGAUACUGACCAUCUAAGAAAAGGAUAAGAAUUAUUACCAAGGUUAGGUUUUCAUAUGCGCCGAUGUCAUAUGGAUGCUUAUAGACUUGCCCACCUUUCUCUGCUAACCACAUAGCUCUCACUCCUUCAUGGUACUGUUCAAUUUCCGAAAAAUUGAUUAGCAGAGGAACAAUAUCUAACUAGGGCUAAGGAGAUCCAUAAUCUAGCAAUUGAAGAAAUGAAAAGACAGGGAAGAAAGAAAGACAAAGAGAAAAGAAAAAGAACAACCUCAAUAGUCGUCUUGUUUUGUAAAAUGAGGUAGAUGUGCCACCCCAGAAGAACACCUAACGCGAUGCUUAAUGGGAUAAGAAGAAAAGCUGAAAUUACCUGAAAAGAAAAACCAUAAACCAUUAGCACAAUAAUAGUUGUUGGUAGUUUGCAAAACAAAACAUCAAUCUUAAUCAUUACAUAUAUAGUUCUUAAAUAGCUUCCCAUCUCUUCCUCUUCAUCUUGAGGUUCAACAGUAAGGCUUCCCACAAGUAAAACCUAGAAAUUCAAGGAAUAUAUAUAAAGCUCAUUUACUAAGUGGCACAGAGAGAUAUGCAUUGAACUAACGGAAGUUAAGAAAUGUACCAGAGAAUAUACACAUGCAGUCACCGCAUAGACAACAAAGACAAAGAAGACCUUGUAGUUAGUGUGUCCUACGCAGUUGUUGAUCCAGAUACAAUGGUGGUCCUUCAAAUCAAAGACGACUGGUUAAACAUAAUAUCACAUGGAUUUGGGAGAUUUCAUGUUUAGUUUGGCAGGAAACAUAUGUGUUCAGUAGAGCAUACCAUUCUAAGCACACAUCUUUUGCAAACUCGACAAUGGUGAGCUCGCGGAGGUUUGAAAUGUGAACACUUUUGGCAGUACCUCAAAUCUCCUCCCUGCAAAUAACAUAACCAAAGUAACAAGUGAAUCCCAAAGCCACAAAACAUGAGGUCACAUAUGGAAUAUCAAAACCUCAACUAUUAAGGUCCUAAUUAGAAGUUAGCUGGAAAAAAAUCUGAUCACUUGAAAGUUAAAUUGUCUCAUACAUGCCAUCAAAACAACGUUAGAGAAACAAACAAAACUACAAGAAUCACCACUCUAACUAAUCCAUGUAGCCAAAAGAUGAAGUUUUUACUGCAAUCCCCAAGAGUCAACCUUUAAUGUCCCUCACUAAUAAUUAGAAGAAGCUAGGAACAAAUUUGAAAAGUUGAAAUUUCUCUAGCAAGCCAACAAAAUCUAUCAAGAGAGUCAACAAUCUACAAGAAUCACCAUUCAAGUAAAUUCAUAGAGCCUAAAGAUUGAAUUUUGAUAUGUACAGAAAAUGACUACACACCAUAGACUAUCUAGAGAAUUAUUUUGACAAAUAUGGUAAAGUUCUAAUGCAGAGAUAAUGGCAAAUCUCUUUGACAUUGAAAUGAACUAAAACCGAUCAUAAUAAUAAUCCAAAUUCCAAACUAAUACUGAUAAAUCUCUGAAUUGACUAUUCAUCACCAAGUAACAGCUAAAUGGGAGAGAAAGAGAUGACCUUUCGCUUAAUCUCAUGAACAGGACUCUCCGGAUCUUCAACAUCCGGCAUGUAAUUGAGUGGAACCCGACCCGGAUCCCUGAAAACCGCGAUGGAGUAAUUGUAUAUACACAUCAGAGCCAAAGCGGUGAAAGCGGCGGCGUUAGCGAUUCCGGGAGACGAAGUGAGGCUGAACCACCGAUCGAUGAAAGUGAAAACCGAGGCAAAGUAGAUGAAACCGAUCACCAACAUCACCACCGUGACGGGGAGAGAGAAUCCGACUCCUUUCCGUUUCAUAUUUUUUUUGGAGCACCGGCGUCGAAACGACGGCGUCUCCGGCGAGUGGAUUUUUAAUUUAAAUUAUUUGUUUUAUUUAUUCGCUUUCUCUCGAUUGAUGUUGUUGUUGUACUUUGUUGUUGGAGUACGUCUGAAGUUGUCGACGAUUUUGGAGAUCUCUUGAACUCGAAGCUCCCCACCUAAUUGAAAUGACCCCUUCUUUAUUAUAUUAUUUCGUAUUUGCCCCUUUUGUUUUAAUUUUAUCAUUAAGGUCCUCUAUUAUUGUUUUCAAAAUUUUGCUGACACAUUUCUUAAUUCCUAAAAUGCAGUUUCUGAUUAUCCGUAUAACCGAAAUUAUUUAGCUCCAUUUAAAAAUGUCAGAGCAUUUUCGAUAAUUCGCUUCGUCUCCAAUAAUUUAGCUAUGUAACGUUCAGGUUUGUAAUUGGAACUAGAAUCAUGGCUUGCAAAGACUUUCAUGAUGAUAUCUCUUAAUGAGCAUUUUUAGUUGCUCAUAUAUAAAUUCAUUUAAUAAAAAAAAGAAGAUUGCAAGUUAAUAAACUGUAAAACUGUACUAAAAUUAGUGUUUAAAGUUUCACAAAACUUGAUUACGUAUUUGAUAGAACUUUUAUUAAAGAAAAUCUCUUAUUGUUUCACAAUUCUAUGUUGUUUCAUUGUUCACUAUUCUACCAUCAAUCCAGUUUUCCUACUAAUCUUCCAAUGGCGGAGUACGUCCCGCAGCAACCGCUUACAAUGCCAGAGAUUAUGAUGAAUACGCAUAUUCCAAUCUGCCAAAAUAUCAAAUAGAUAAAGCUUAAAUGAAAUUAUCAUGUAAAAAUAUAUUGACUCUAAACAAUAACCAUUUUACUUUAUGGCAUAAAAGAAAAAAAAAUAUAUCUUACUUGAGUCUUACUCAAUCUACCCUUCAAGAUACUGAGAUAACAAAGACAAGGAAAGAUAAAAUCCUGCACGGUAAACAAAAAAAUAUGAAUCCUUUUAACAGAUGUGAUAUGUCUAUAAUCAAUGAUAGCUGUAAUUUUCUUAAACGGUGACUUACGACAAGCAUUGCGAGGAAUGAUCCCAUCAAAGCCCCCAUGAUCGCUGCAAAGUUAUAAUUAGAACAAACGACGAUAAAUUAAGAUGCUUUUUGUUGUUGUUGUAUAGUUUCAUGCAAAAAGAAGGUAAGAGUAUUUUACCGAAGAAUGGGAAUGUAAGUGCGACAACCAAAGUAGAGAGAACUAAAAUCGUUUUAAUAAAGAUAGAUACUCCAUACGAUCUCAUCUUCUCUGAUGGCAGCAUAAGUUCUUCUAGACCUAGCACAAUUGGUGUGAGAGCUAACGCGUAUUUGGUCAUCGGUACUACCACCUAAAGUAAGAGAAAAAGAACCAAUCAAAUUUUAGUAAUUAUAUAUAUGUCGAGACAAACAUGUUUACCGAGUUUUAAAGUUAUAUCUCACCGCUGUCCAAACUGCGAUUUUAGAUGCUGUGUACUGCUGUGGCAUGUUUAGUGUAAACUGUGAUUGAAUGGCCUCACCAAACAUACUGUAGCCGCAAAUCGCUACGACAAUGUAAAAGAAUACGCAGAAACCAAAACUGCAAAAAGAAACGGAGAAAUGAAAAUUUUGACCUAGUAUCUAACGUCCAUUAUAAGUAACCUUAGGCAAAGAGAUUUUUCACCUAAUGAGAAGCACCAAAGGAAACUUGGAUGGUUCUUUCAUGGAAGAGUAAAUGCUGGGUAAAACUGCGUGACCACUGAACCCAAACCCGAAUAUCCCAAUAGCGACGGGUAAGUUAGCGAGAUCAAGAGAUUUUCCACCCGUGUGAAACCCGACUCCAUCAACCGACCCAACCCAGAAGAGACAAAGAGCAAGCAAGAUCGAAACAAAGACUCCUCCGGCUAAAAGAAUGGAACACACAUAUUAAAGAAUAUAUGAACGAAUCUCGAAGCUAUAUUGGAAGGAUCUUAUGAUAGAAAAUGGAACCUGAGAGAUAGGAGAGUAAGCUAAGGUCUUUGAGCCAAACUGUAGGAAGAACAAUAAGAGUAGCUGAUAUAGCAAAGAUCUGAGGAGAAUCUAGAGAUACUCCAACGAUGUUUAAUGUAAUGUUGGGGAAAACUCUCGAUAAAUUAUCGCUCAUCAUGAUUAUAUACUCCACACAACAUACGUAUAACUCCAUGUACAAAAGUAUCUGCAACUCUCAUGAGAGAUCAAGAACCCUAUAUAUUAGUUUGGAGAUAUGUUAAGUAUAUAUGUAAAUGAUUUCCAUAUGACUAACGGAGAUGAUGAGGCGGCCGGUAAAUCCAAAGGCAGCUUGACCAAUGUCCGGGUAGGUACGGAGAUCAGAAGAGCUCUCAAGACAUCGUUUGAGGAGGAUACCGGUGUAGCAAGUGAUGAUAGCAAAGGAUAAGAGUAUACAAAGCCCGAGCCAUCCUCCUUCUUUCACCGCGUAAGGCAUUGUGAGUAGACUUAUUCCACAAAGGACAUUGAUUCCUUCACCAAAAAUAGGUUCAACUUAAAGAGAGAUUGAAACUUUUCUUUUUGUUAUGACGAUAAAAUCUCUGUUCAACCGAACCGAAUGCCCAAACCCUAAAGACUUUUGAGACAAAAUCAAUACCGAUACUAUGUCUUACCAUUUAGAACAGAUUGAGGAAACGAGCAGAAAUUUGGUUCUCCAUACGAGAGAUCGGUGUUGGAUAACCCGAUCUGAGAUGAAAGGAAUAAUACAUCGUCUUUCUCAGAGAGCAGCGGUUGUUUGCUUGUGGAAGACGCAAACGAAUUUGCAAUAGAGGUUGGACGUCUCUUGUAUAAGGAAGCGACAGAACUGGUGAAUGAUGUCUGAGAACUUCUCCGGUGAAUGAAACUGAUUGUAGGAGGUGUAACUCCGGUCAAGAUAUCCACAGAUUGUCUAUAUUUUCCAGAAAAAGGAAGAAUCUUCACAAACGUUAUAAAUUAAUUCGUUAGAUAUCGAAAAAACAGAGGAAUUUCUUUUACCGAUAACUCCGAGGCCAUGGAGCUGAAUCGUUCUGAGAUAAUGAAGAAUAUGAACUAGAAUCAUCGUCUUCGUCAUCGCAGGAGACAUCAACUUGGCAUUCCUCGUCAUCUGUCGGAAACAAUAUGUCUCUUUCUUGCUCCUCAAGUUCCAUCGUCGUUGUCUCUGUUUCAAAACAGAGUCGAAUCAGAGCAACAAAGGAGCGAAAUGAAUACUAUAAGAAAAAAAAAAGAGAUCGAGCUCUGAGUUCGAUUUGCUAUCACGUCGAGUUUGUAUUAAUCCAAUUGAUACAUGAUCAUAAACAAAUUAAUAUUCUGGUUAUUCUGGUCGUGAUAUGUAGUGUGGAAGUAUUAGUGGCGGAUCUACAUUGCCACUAGGGUAGGCACGUGCCCCAUACUAAUUAGAAAUUUUAAGCCAUAGGAUAAUGAGACUAUGAAGUCAUUGUUCUAUAUUUGAUCCAUUGGUAAUGAUUAUUCUCCAAAACAUUGAGAUGGUGGAGUUUCACUUCCUUAUUUGUUCUAUAAAAUUAUUGUUAUAAUAUGUAAUUUUAUCUUUAUAGCCACCUUUCAGUUCAAGUUUUGGGUUAAAACAUGUUGUAAGAUUCAAUUUUCUUCUUAGACAGUUAUUUUUCCUCUUCAUUUUUCACCUCGCUAUAUUUCAUAUAAAUGUAUAUGUGCCAUAUACUAGAAAAGUUUCUGGAUCCGCCCCUCACAUGUUCAAAAGUCAAAGGUAUAUGCGUGGAAUUGGAAAUUUGGAAUGGAUUUGAUUUGUCAAAAAUAAAUUAAAAAAAAGUAGGUCGACGAAGGUUAAGAUCUUUUUGUGAAAAUAGAAGAUUACAAGUUAAAACAAAGCUUCAUUACGGUAUUAAAAUUACUGCUUCACGUUUCACAAAUCUUGAUCACUCUGUUAAAUUUCAUAUAAAAAGACAAUCUCUUAUUGUUUCACAAUUUAACAUAUGUUGUUUCAUUGUUCUUCAUUGUACCAUCCAAUUCAAUUCUCCUACUAAUCUUCCAAUGGCGGAGUACGUCCCGCAGCAACCGCUUACAAUGCCAGAGAUUAUGAUGAAAACGCAUAUUCCAAUCUGCCAAAAGAUCAAAUAGAUAAAGUUUAAAUUAAAUUAUUAUGUAAAAAAUAUAUUGACUCUAAACAAUAACCAUUUUACUUUAUGACAGAAAAAAAGAAUAUAUAUAUAUAUAUCUUACUUGAGUCUUACUCAAUCUACCCUUCAAGAUACUGAGAUAACAAAGACAAGGAAAGAUAAAAUCCUGCACGGUAAACAAAAUAUGAAUCCUUUUUAACAUACGUGAUAUGCCUAUAUAAUCGAUGAUAGCUGUAAUUAUGUUAAACGGUGACUUACGACAAGCGUUGCGAGGAAUGAUCCCAUCAAAGCCCCCAUGAUCGCUGCAAAGUUAUAAUUAGAACAAACGACGAUAAAUUAAGAUGCUUUUUGUUGUUGUUGUAUAGUUUCAUGCAAAAAGAAGGUAAGAGUAUUUUACCGAAGAAUGGGAAUGUAAGUGCGACAACCAAAGUAGAGAGAACUAAAAUCGUUUUAAUAAAGAUAGAUACUCCAUACGAUCUCAUCUUCUCUGAUGGCGGCAUAAGUUCUUCUAAACCUAGCACAAUCGGUGUGAGAGCUAACGCGUAUUUGGUCAUUGGUACUACCACCUUAAGUAAGAGAAAAAGAACCAAUCACAUUUUAGUAAUUAUAUAUAUGUCGAGACAAACAUGUUUACCGAGUUUUAAAGUUAUAUCUCACCGCUGUCCAAACUGCGAUUUUAGAUGCUGUGUACUGUUGUGGCAUGUUUAGUGUAAACUGCGAUUGAAUGGCCUCACCAAACAUACUGUAGCCGCAAAUCGCCACGGCAAUGUAAAAGAAUACGCAGAAACCAAAACUGCAAAAAGAAACAGAGAAAUGAAAAUUUUGACCUAAUAUUAUCUGAAGUCCAUUAUAAGUAACCUUAAUCAAAGAGAUUUUUCACCUAAUGAGAAGCACCAAAGGAAACUUGGAUGGUUCUUUCAUGGAAGAGUAAAUGCUGGGUAAAACUGCGUGACCACUGAACCCAAACCCGAAUAUCCCAAUAGCGACGGGUAAGUUAGCGAGAUCAAGAGCUUUUCCACCCGUGUGAAACCCGACUCCAUCAACCGACCCAACCCAGAAGAGACAAAGAGCAAGCAAGAUCGAAACAAAGACUCCUCCGGCUAAAAGAAUGGAACACACAUAUUAAAGAAUAUAUGAACGAAUCUCGAAGCUAUAUUGGAAGGAUCUUAUGAUAGAAAAUGGAACCUGAGAGAUAGGAGAGUAAGCUAAGGUCUUUGAGCCAAACUGUAGGAAGAACAAUAAGAGUAGCUGAUAUAGCAAAGAUCUGAGGAGAAUCUAGAGAUACUCCAACGAUGUUUAAUGUAAUGUUGGGGAAAACUCUCGAUAAAUUAUCGCUCAUCAUGAUUAUAUACUCCACACAACAUACGUAUAACUCCAUGUACAGAAGUAUCUGCAACUCUCAAAAGAGAUCAAGAACCCUAUAUAUUAGUUUGGAGAUAUGUGAAGUAUAUAUGUAAAUCAUUUCCAUAUAACUCACGGAGAUGAUGAGGCGGCCUGUAAAUCCAAAGGCAGCUUGACCAAUGUCCGGGUAGGUACGGAGAUCAGAAGAGCUCUCAAGACAUCGUUUGAGGAGGAUACCGGUGUAGCAAGUGAUGAUAGCAAAGGAUAAGAGUAUACAAAGCCCGAGCCAUCCUCCUUCUUUCACCGCGUAAGGCAUUGUGAGUAGACUUAUUCCACAAAGGACAUUGAUUCCUUCACCAAAAAUAGGUUCAACUUAAAGAGAGAUUGAAACUUUUCUUUUUGUUAUGACGAUAAAAUCUAUUCAACCGAACCGAAUGCCUAAACCCUAAAGACUUUUGAGACAGAAUCAAUAUCGAUACUACUACGUCUUACCAUUUAGAACAGAUUGGGGAAACGAGCAGAAAUUUGGUUCUCCAUACGAGAGAUCGGUGUUGGAUAACCCGACCUGAGAUGAAAGGAAUGAUACAUCGUCUUUCUCAGAGAGCAGCGGUUGUUUGCUUGUGGAAGACACAAACGAAUUUGCAAUAGAGGUUGGACGUCUCUUGUAUAAGGAAGCGAUGGAGCUACUGAAUGAUGUCUCAGUACUUCUCCCUUGUAUGAAACUGACCAUAGGAGGUGUAACUCCGGUCAAGAGAUCCACAGAGUGUCUGAAUUUUACAUGAAAAAAAGAAGGAAGAAUCUUCACAAACACUUCAAAUAAUUUCGUUAGAUAUCGAAAAACAAAGUAUUUUAUUUUACCUAUAACUCUGAGGCCAGAAAGCGGAAUCAUUCUGGGAUAAUGAAAAAGAUGCAUUGGAAUCAUCGUCGUCAUUAACAUAUGAGACAUCGACAUGGCAGUCAUCGUCAUCUGUCUGAAUCAAUAUGUCCCUUUCUUGCUCCUCAAGAUCCAUCUUCGUCGUCUCUGCUUCAAAACAGAGUUAAAUCAGAGCAAGUAACAGAUUCCAGGACAGAACAAACGAAACAGGAAAAAAAGGAGGGAACAGAGAAGUGAAAUGAAUAUUGGAAGAAAUAUAAAGAGACGACGAAGAGACUCGGUAUUGAGUUCGAUGUGUUGUCACGUCUGACGUCUGUCAACUUUGUAUUAGUCUUAGGAAAAAAACACUUUGUAUUAGUCCAUUGAUACUACUUGAUCAUAUGUAACGAAUUAAAUUCUGGUCGACUGGUCGUUAAAUUUAGAGUGGAAGGUAACGUUCACAUGUUUAAAAGGUCCAAAGUCAAAAGGUACAUGCGUGGCAUAGAUUUGCCAAUAAAUUAAAGAAAAAAAGGUAAAUUCAAGAAAGGCUUAUCGAGCUAAUUUAAGCCCAAUAAUACUGAACUAUUUGGGCUUGAGUCUUAAAGGCCCAAUUUGUGGAGGAGGCGUCAUCGUCUUCGCUUUUCCUUUUCCCUUGAGAGGUCGUCGACGAGGUUUAAGAUUUUUAAGAAUGUUGUAGUAGCUUCGCGAAUAAUCUCAGGUCUUCUAUAAAACCAAACUAGCGAUUAGCCGACUCUUCCUCUUUAUUAUUACAAAGACGAAAAGGCUUCGAGUUUUGUAAUUUCUUCUUCUGUUACAAGUUCUUUUCACUGUGAAAGUAAUUCUUCAAUGGCGAAAGACGGACCUAAUUGGGAUGGUUUGCUUAAGUGGAGUCUCUCUCACGCCGACGGUACUCGACCCACUCGCCAGUUGAGGUACGGACAUUCAUCUUGUAGUUGGUUUUUUAGGUUCUGUCUUUUGAUUUGUCUGAAACUGAUGGGAUGCUUGGUGGGUAGUUUAGGUAUCUGUGUGGCUAUGAUUGAGCUUUCACUUGAGGAGAUGAAUCUUAUGAGUGAAUUCGAAUCUGGGUUUGUUUAAAGUAGUUUUCUUUUUUGAAGAUAUCUGUUCAGUUCAUCGGUUUGGUUAAGAUUCAAUUAUCGAAUUCUGCUGUUAUGUAGGUGAAAGGUUAUCUAUUUUCUCGUUUUUACAUGAAACUCUGUUAAUUUUUUUUAAGGGAAUUCACGAUUUGUUCAUGUCAAAUCAUUCUGUAUGUGUUUUAUUGUGGAUUGUUUUGUUGAUUUGAGUUGUUUUAAUGAGACAGUGAGGAGGAUCGAAAAUGGUUUAUGGAGGCUAUGCAAUCGCAGACUGUAGAUGUAGUCAAACGCAUGAAGGAGAUUACACUAGUUAUGCAAACACCUGAACAAGUUUUGGUGGAACAUGGAGUAACACCUGAAGAUAUCCAAGGUGCGUAAUUUGUGGCUAUAAUACAUAGCUUAGAUCUUUAUCUUUUGCCAUUGUGUGUAGGGUACUAAUUGAGUUUAUUAUUCUGGUAGAUUUGCUGGAUGAGCUGCAAGAGCACGUUGAAUCGAUCGAUAUGGCUAACGGUACAUUAUCUCUAACUUGGACUUUGCUUUUUUUUUUUUUUUUUUUUUCUUUCCUGUUCUGGUUAGCUCAAUUUGAACAUUGCUUGUAACAACUUGUUUACUUACUAUUGUGUAGAUCUUCAUUCAAUUGGAGGCUUGGUUCCUCUUCUUAGUUUCCUUAAAAACUCUCAUGCUAAUAUUCGGGCAAAAGCUGCGGAUGUCGUUAGCACAAUAGUUCAGAACAAUCCUAGAAGUCAGGAACUUGUUAUGGAAACCAAUGCUCUGGAGUCAUUGCUCUCGAAUUUCACUUCAGACACUGAUAUUCACGCUCGAACCCAGGCUCUUGGCGCAAUAUCAUGUAAGCCUGCUUCUGAUAGUUCAUUUUUAGUAAAGAUUGAGAUGAUCAAAAGCUUUUGUGAUUUCUAUUUUACUUGGUUUGUGAUACUAAAAGAGACUUAUCUUUUCAAUAUGGGAUGUAGCUUUGAUUCGCCAUAACAAACCAGGAGUAACGGCUUUCAAGCUUGCCAAUGGUUAUGCUGGCCUAAGAGACGCCUUGGCAUCUGAUAGUGUGAGAUUUCAAAGGUAACCCACACAAAUAUUCUUAUCAUCUGCGGAUAUAAAAUCGUGGAAGAUUCUUGAAUUGUUGCUCAUUUUCUUUAUUCAAAUUCUCCAGGAAAGCCUUAAACUUGUUGCAAUAUCUACUGCAAGAGGAUGAUUCAGACCGCAGUAUUGCCACUGGACUUGGAUUCCCCCGAGUGAUGAUGCAUCUUGCCUCUAGUGACGAUGCUGAGAUCAGAGAAGCCGCUCUUCGUGGAUUACUUGAGCUUUCAAGAGAGAAAAACGAUGGAAGUAGCAGCAUAGAUAAAAGCGAUGAGAAACUGAGGCAGCUACUAGAAGAACGGAUCAAAGGAAUCACCUUGAUGUCACAAGAGGAUCUUGAAACGGUUAAAGAAGAGAGACAGCUCGUGGAUUUACUGUGGAGCAUUUGCUACAAUGAACCUUCUUCUCUGAGAGAAAAAGGACUUGUCGUUCUUCCCGGUGAAGACGCAUUGCCUCCUGAUGUCGCUAGCAAGCUCUUUGAGCCUCCUCUUAGAGCUUCUGCAGCAAACCGUAAUGCUACUGAGAAGAAAGAUGAACCUAUGAAACUACUUGGACCAUAGACGAGAAAUCAAAGCUAAAACUUUUUAUUACUUUUCCUUGUUUUUUAUGUUUUGUAACUUUUCAAAUUGUCAGAAAAGUUUCAUAGAUAUAUGUAUUAUGUCAAUGAUCAAGGGCUAUGUUAUGUUAAUUUUUGUUUUCAUCAUUCGAGAUCUUUAGUCUUGUUAUUGUUGAGAUUAAGAAUAUUCAGCUUCAAUGCUUUUUCAAUUCAACAAGUGUUCUAUACGAUUUCGGUUUAGCAACAGCUAAUACGGACCCGAUCUAAUUGAUCGGUUAAAAUUGGUAACUUUGAAUUGCGGUGAACCGAAGAACAAAACCAAAGCGAACGUCACAAUUACUUUGCAAUCCCUAAAGGGACAGAGUUCGAAUCAAGGCAGUCUCACAUAUCGGAGAAAUCUCUCGUCACGUCUCUCAGCUUCGCCUUCAACACCGUCGUCGCCGUCACGGCCAACUCCGGUAUUGUUAUAUAGAUACAAUUACAGUGAACUAGAUAAUCUCAUCAAACCCUGAUUCUUUCCACUUCCUCGCACGAUUGUGUGAAAACAGUUACUUUCGCUAUAAAUAGUCUGAUCUUCUUUCUAUUGAGCAGUAAGAUUGGAAGCUGUUGUUUCGAAUCGAUUCAAGCCUCGAAUCUGAGUUUCGGAUCGAUAUUAGAAGCUAAGGUAGGAGCUUUUUGAGUGAAGGAGUUAUGGUAUGGUGUAACCAUUGCGUGAAGAAUGUUCCCGGAAUACGCCCUUAUGAUGGUGCAUUGUAAGUGUUUUUGAUUAUUCACUGAUGUUUUGUUAUCUUAUGGUUUGCUCUUUAGGAGCUCAGUUUCUGUUGGAUUUGUGGUUUCCAAGCUUCGAAUUAUGAAAUAUCAUCGUUUUUGAUUUUUACAGGGCAUGUAAUUUAUGUGGGAGGAUAUUGGAGAAUUUCCAUUUUUCUACCGAAGUUACAUUCGUUAAGAAUGCUGCUGGACAGGUAUACGCAGCUGAGCUUUAGCUUCAGUUACCUCUUUUGAAGCUCUUCUGUUUUAGUGCUACAUAUGUUUCUUCGGAUGUUCUCGAUGUGUCUAGUGGUUUGCGGAUGUGAUUAAUAGGAUGUAGGAUUAGAGAGAUGUGAGAAUAUGAGUUGGAGAAUCUUGGAACUGUUAUCACAUCUCUGCUUAAAUGUUCUGUGGGGUUUGUAUGCGAAGAUGAACUUUUUCCUUCAGACUGAAACUUUGCAAAGACCAUAUUAUAUGAAAGGUCAAAACUACCGAAGUAUAAGAAAAUGCACUAAGCAACCAGCUUUAUUUAGCCACAACCAGUAGAAAUAUCAUCGAUAGACUUGACAAUGGAUUUGUUUCCAAGACUGUUGUCUCUUUAGUGAUGAUAUCCACAGAGUUACUUGAGAUUUAUACAGCCUUUGGUUUCUUUGAACAAUUUGGUUCAAGCUUACAAAUUAUUUCUGUUUCUGCAGAGCCAAGCAUCAGGUAACAUAGUGAGGAGUGUUCAAAGUGGGAUUACAAGCUCACGUGAAAGGAGAUUUAGAAUAGGUAUGCCCCUUUUUGUAUAUGUAUAUGUAUCUGUGUUCGCUGUUGGCCCAAAUUCUGCAACUGAUACAUCUAUUCUACAGCUUUCGCUUAUGUUUGACAGAGCUAUUCCCUUCCCUUUUUAUUGUAUUUCGAACUUUUCAGUUCAGUAAUUGCGUAUGUGUACUCAUUAACCCAUCCUUAAAUUUACUUCCAAAUUCAGGCCAUGUGACUGUUUCAAAAACCAUUGCAUUGUUAGACUCUUUACAUUAAUGCAAUUUUGAUUCUUAUGAUCUGACAGACCUUCGUCUUUUUGGCAGCUAGAGAUGAGCUUAUGAAUUUGAAAGAUGCAUUGGGGAUUGGUGAUGAGAGAGAUGAUGUGAUUGUCAUCGCAGCUAAAUUCUUUGAAGUAUGGUUGGUUUACUUAAUCUCUGAAUAUUAAUUUGUAAAGUACUUUUACCCCUUCUUUUAACUCCAUUAAUCUUCUGCAGAUGGCAGUUGAGCAGAAUUUCACGAAAGGCCGCAGAACUGAACUAGUACAGGCUUCCUGCCUCUACUUGACGUGCAGGUUAGAUUCCUAGUAAUCGUCUUAUUGCUCUCCUAUGUUUUUUCCUCUUUAGAAUACCUUGCUGAAUUAUGUAGUUGAUGUUUUAUUCGCUGUAUGUUAACCAUAAAAUUUCAUGAUCUGUAGGGAAUUGAACAUUGCGUUGCUUCUUAUUGAUUUCUCAAGCUACCUUCGAGUUAGCGUGUAAGAUGAUUCUUUUUCAUUUCCCUACUGUUCUCUUUCUUUUGCAACCUAAUUACAUGUUAAGUCUAUUGCAAUGACAAUUCAGGCUUUGCUGUUUUGGUUUUAUCAAAUAUUGUGCAGUUAUGAGUUAGGUUCUGUAUACUUACAACUCUGUGAAAUGCUGUACCUUGUGGAAAAUCGGAAUUAUGAAAAGCUUGUUGAUCCUUCAAUUUUCAUGGAUCGAUUCUCAAACAGUAAGUAUGUCAUGUUUUGGCUACCAUUCGUUUUUGUAUUUGGUUGAUGCAGAACAUCAGCCAAGAAACAAACAGUUAUAUUGAAUACUUAACCCAGCCUACUUGUUUCAUCAUACUCUUGCAGGCUUAUUGAAAGGAAAAAAUAAUAAAGAUGUUGUGGCAACAGCUAGAGACAUUAUAGCUAGUAUGAAGAGAGAUUGGAUACAGGUGUGACUUUGUUAUGUUAGUGUAUCGUUUCCUAUGUACGCUUUGCCUUAGAGUUAAUUAAAUUAUGAGUUAUGUUAAUAUUAGCUACGUAUUGGCUUGCAGACCGGCCGGAAGCCUAGUGGAAUAUGUGGAGCAGCACUUUACACAGCUGCUCUUUCUCAUGGUAUCAAGUGCUCUAAGACAGAUAUUGUAAGAUAUGAUUGGCUAUAAAGAAAUAUUGUUUUAGAUGAGAGGAAAAGUGUUUUAGCCUUUAAUUCACUAAUUUAGUACUGAUUUGGUGUGUUUUCUACUUCCAGGUAAACAUUGUGCAUAUAUGUGAAGCAACUCUCACCAAACGAUUGAUUGAGUUUGGCGAUACGGAUUCUGGAAAUUUAAAUGUGAGUUAAGGCUAAUGAGUGUCUAGCAGAAUUACAUGCUAUCUGGUCAUAUCAGCACACAUUGGGUUAAAUAUGAGGAUCUGGUUCCGCCGUCAUAGUAGUUAUAACUUAUAAUAUUGCAUGUUCCACUGCUAUUGGUUUGUUGUCAUAUGCAAUAGUGUCACAGGCUCGAUUUGCUUUGCCUCAUAUCAGUUGAAGAAUUAUGUUCAUUUUUAACGGUUGUACAUAUGUGGCUAGGUUAAUGAGCUCAGAGAAAGAGAAUCGCAUAAAAGAUCUUUUACCAUGAAACCAACCUCAAAUAAAGAGGCGGUGCUCUGUAUGCAUCAGGAUAGUAAACCUUUUGGUUAUGGACUAUGUGAAGACUGCUACAAAGAUGUAGGUCACCGGUUAAUUUCCUGAUUUUUCUAAUCACGUCUUCUGUUUACGUAGUUGCGAGUCGUUGACAAAUGGUUCCCAGAGUUAACAAUCAAAUGUUUUCUUUUGCAAUUUUUAAUGCAGUUCAUAAAUGUUUCUGGUGGACUUGUUGGUGGGUCCAAUCCUCCUGCUUUCCAGCGCGCAGAGAAAGAGCGAAUGGAAAAAGCAGCUAGAGAAGAAAACGAGGGAGGAAUUAGUAGCCUAAACCACGAUGAACAACUAUAUGUAAGUUUUGGUGCUCUUUUAUUUGAGGAUUGCAGUUUAGAUAUUUUCCUCCCUACCCAAAGCACCUGUAUUGGGAGCUUGUUCACUUCUGCUUGUAUGAUAUUAUAAUAAAAUCUUUCUUGUGCCGAACUUUUAACAGUCAGACUAUUGCAGUAUGAGCAAAAGGGGAAAACAAUGUUCUGGUGAGUGCAAUUGUUUUCUAUCAGAUUAAAGUUCUUCACUAUCGUUUGAGCACUUGAGAAUCUAUUUGGGCUGUGUCGCAGAGAAAGGUGAAAAAGAUAAAGAUGGGGCUGAAGAACAUGCUGAUACUUCGGAUGAAUCAGACAACUUUUCUGACAUCAGUGAUGAUGAGGUCGGUAAUUGUUUAGUAGUAAAUGCUAUGUCAAAUUUCCAACCUCGAAUAUGGAACAUGAAAUAAAGAAGAAUUCUCAACAGUUUCAAAGUCUUGUUUUCUCACUACAGUUUCCCUUGUUAUAUUUGAUCGUCAGUCAUAGUAUUUUACUGUUGCUCAGGUAAAUGGCUAUAUCAACAACGAGGAGGAAACGCACUAUAAGACGAUCACAUGGACAGAAAUGAACAAAGAUUAUCUUGAGGUGAUUUCAGAGGCUAUAUAAUAUGUAUCUUCUCUUGGAUUCCUUUUGAUUUAUCACCUAGGAGAUCAAAUCACAUACAAAAUUAUGUUGUUUUGUAGGAGCAAGCUGCUAAGGAAGCAGCUCUGAAGGCGGCUAGUGAAGCUUUAAAAGCUAGCAACUCUAAUUGCCCAGAAGAUGCAAGAAAGGCUUUCGAAGCUGCCAAAGCUGAUGCGGCAAAAUCUAGAAAGGUGACUCAGUUUGAACUUUGAAAUUAUGUUCCUGAUCAAGCAUCUGACUUUUGGAGAAUAACAUGAUACCCAUUGAUGACAUAUGGUUUCUCAAUCAAUUUCUGAUUCUUUUUUCUCUCUCUUCAUAUAGGAAAAGCAACAAAAAAAAGCUGAGGAAGCAAAGAACGCGGCUCCUCCAGCCACAGCAGUGGAGGCGGUACGCCGAACGCUUGAUAAAAAGGUUAGAAUGUCAGCUUCUUUGAUACCUUGAUACUUGAAAACGAAUAUGCAAAAAAAGAUAAACCGAGUAUGCCAUGUAUCAUCUGUUAAAAACCUGGCCUGGAAGUACAUAGUCAACAACAUGGCUGUCGAAAUUAUUAGCAUUGAAGAAACUUUAGAGUCUGUGUUUCUUCCUUUUUCCUGAUUUUGAGUGUUGACUCUUACAGAGACUUAGUUCGGUGAUCAACUACGAUGUUUUGGAGUCGCUAUUUGAUACAUCCGUAAGUUUUUGAUUACCUCUUCUUGUAUCCUCAAUUCUCAUCACUUUUUGAGGUCUUUACAAUUUUGCUUCUCUUUUCUUCUUUCAGGCACCUGAGAAAUCACCCAAGAGGUCGAAAACAGAGACAGACAUUGAGAAGAAGAAGGAAGAGAACAAGGAAAUGAAGAGUAAUGAACAUGAGAAUGGUGAAAAUGAAGAUGAAGAUGAAGAGGAUGAAGAAGAAGGCAAUGUAGAAUCAUACGACAUGAAGACAGAUUUUCAAAACGGCGAGAAAUUCUAUGAAGAGGACGAGGAAGAAGAAGAGGAUGGUAAUGAUUUUGGAUUGUAUUGAUGAUAUGUAUUGUGAAACACAAGAGUUUUAAUUUCUUUUGUUUUGCCGGAUUAGUUGAUUUUAUUUGCAUUAAUAUAGGAGAACCCCAACUAAAUUUAUUCUUUAUUAUCAGUAACAAAUAUUUAAGAUUUAAAAGAAAAAAAAGUUCACACAAAUGAUCUAUUUAUUUUUACAAUUCAAGUGGUACUGACUAAGAAAUGAAAAACCACUAACUUAAUUAAUUUAAUAAAAUCUAUAUGUAUUUAAUUUUGAUAAUUUUAUUUUCCUUGUUUAUGAUAAUUCUAAUUUCUAUCAGAUAACAACUAACAAUCACUGAACUUAUCUCACCUAUUUGAUGAGCUAAAUGUAUUUUAAAUUUAUUUUUCUAUAAAGAUAUAACUGAAACAAAAGUGAUGACUUUUUAUGAAAAUUCCCAAAAUCAAAUACCAGAAAAUUCAAUUUUAAACAAAAUGUGUCGGUCCGGAUGAUCUUACAUCUAGCUUGGUUUUACAGGAUAGUAUUUAAGAAGAAUCAUAAAGUUCAUCUCAAACCAAAUCCGACGGUCCAGAGUCACCUGCAAAGCUUGGCAUCGUAUACGUGUUCAGUGGUCAACGGAUCAGCUACGAGUGCCGUUUGAGGUUCAAACUUCUGUUUCUGAGGUUAACUCUCUACCGUUAACGUCCGUUAGUGUACCUUCUAACCUUGACGACUUUUCCACUUUCCAAAAGAUAACGACGGCGUUAAAUUGGUCUAUUUUACUGAACCAGCUUUAACCAGAAUUAGAUUGCAUUACAUUCAACUCGUGCUUAUGGAUAAAUAUCAGUUCGGUUUGGAGAAAAUAGGUUACUUAAGGUAAAAAGAACGGCAAGUAACGGUGUGACGUCAGCAGAAGAAGUAUUCGUUAUAAUAGUGAGAGAGAGAGAGAUAAAACUUAGGGAACCCUUUUUUAUGUUUUAUUUUCUCGCUUUGUUUCGAUCAAGUCUUCUCUUUCUCUCUCUAUCCCUCUCUCUCUGGUUCAACGGGCAAAGUAUUUUUCGAAUAAAGUUUUGGUUUUUUUUUUAACGUUCCUUUCGCCUUCUUUCUUCUUCUUCUGCUGGUGAAUUCGUGUAUCUAUCUAUCUCGAUGAGCUCCACUUUUAAUCCAGCCGCUUCUUCUCCAGAUGAGGUUAGUUUUUGUGUAUCGAAUCUGAAUUUUUAAGGGUUUUGUUCUUGUGAUCAGAUUCUAGUGAAAUUGAGUUCUUUGUUGUUUGGCUCUGAUUCGAAACGAAUUUAACUUUAUUGAAACUAUAAAUUUUUGUGAUUACAAUUGUUAUAAACCCUAAUUUUGCUGUGGUUGGUGUUAAUGUUGAGCUGUUUACUGAAUUCGUGAUUUGUGAGAUCUGGGUUCUGUCUGCUUUGUGUUUUACGAUGAUUGCUUUUUUAGGGUUUCUCUGUUUCUUAUCAAAGUCUGGAUCUUUUUUUUCUUUCAUUGAGAUGAUGGAUCUUCAGGAAGAAACAGGUGAAGUGAAAAUUGAGGAUCAGUGUGUAGAAAAUAAGCAAUCAACACCUGCUUCGUGCUCUUCUGUAUCUGAAGGCAGUGCUGGUAGUUCCCACAAGUCACCUACAAUUGCAAGUCCUGCCACAGUAUCACCUACUCAUAGGUACCUCGGGUUAGUUCGUCUCCUUCUUCUUCUUCCUUGUUUUGUAUCUCCUCCGCAGCACUCGUUUGCGAAUUUGCAUCUUUUCUACAAGAGAUUGAUGUUGAUAGUGUUUGGUAUGCAGGAGGACGAGUGGCCCUAUAAGGCGAGCCAAAGGUGGGUGGACUCCGGAAGAGGUUAGUAUUGAGUAUUGACUAGUGAUUGCUUUUGACCAAUAUCAAUUUUGGAUCAGUAGUUCGAAAUUCAAGAUGUGAGUUGUUUUACUUAAUGCAGGAUGAGACAUUGAGACAAGCAGUUGACACGUUUAAAGGCAAGAGCUGGAAGAACAUAGGUAAGUCUCUUCUUCUUUUUAGAUUCUAGUUCUCAUAUUAACAAGAGUAAUGUCAGUGCUACAACAUACUCCAUAGAUUUGUGGUUCGAAUAUUAAAGUUGGAGCCUACUUGCUUACAGUAACUAUUAGUUCCAUACUCUUGUCUCUGUAGUUUUAUGAGUUACUCUUGUAUGUUAACUUGAUCAUCUGAGGCUGAGCAUCUAGUAGAAAGACUUUCUUUUACGUUUGUUUCCGUUUUGUUCCGUGAAGCAUUUAGUAUUGUUUGAAUUGGUGUAUUCAUUUUUGCAGCGAAAUCUUUCCCUGAUAGAACUGAAGUUCAAUGCCUGCAUCGGUGGCAGAAAGUUCUAAAUCCAGACCUUAUUAAGGGACCUUGGACACAUGAGGUUGAUUCUGUUUCUGAUUUUAUUUAUUAUUUGGCUUCAUUUUUUAUGUGAAAUACGAAGGCUUAAAGUUUGUUGUUUUGCAGGAGGAUGAGAAAAUCGUUGAACUGGUUGAAAAAUACGGGCCUGCGAAAUGGUCUAUUAUCGCACAGUCUUUACCAGGUCGAAUUGGGAAGCAAUGCCGAGAGAGGUAGUUAAUUCAUAUGAGCCAAGCAUUUUUCUUAUAGUUAUAUUGGAAGCUUUAAUGUGUUUUGAUAUGUAUGCAGGUGGCAUAACCAUUUGAAUCCUGAUAUUAACAAGGAUGCUUGGACCACAGAGGAAGAAGUAGCUCUCAUGAAUGCUCAUCGAAGCCACGGAAACAAAUGGGCUGAAAUUGCUAAGGUCUUACCCGGCAGGUAUUUUUACUUUUCUUGGCAUGCGUCAUUGGAGUUGAGACUUUAGAGAAGGGUUAGCUUCUGGGUUUAAUGAAGGUUUUACUUAAAACUUGCUGCAGGACUGAUAAUGCAAUAAAGAACCAUUGGAAUAGUUCAUUGAAAAAGAAGUCAGAAUUCUACUUAUUGACUGGUAGGUUACCACCACCAACAACAACAAGGAAUGGUGUUCCUGAUAGUGUAACCAAACGUUCAUCGUCUGCUCAGAAAAGGGUUUUUGGUUCAGUUGCUCAAACCUCAUCAGUAACUACAGAUGUAAACAAUCUCGCUGAAGACGGAAAUGGCCAAAUAAACUCAUCUGUUCCUGUCGAAGAAGUAGUAGCUGCUUCACGAAUGACUAGUCUUAAUGAGUAUGCUCGUUCUCCUCAGUUGCCUAACCCAGAGCCAUUGCCAGAGAAUGGUGGAGCUGCAAAUAAUGGUUAUCAUCUGUACUACACGCCUCAAAUAGACUAUUACAGGGCGUCAGAAGUGGAUACGCAGCGUAUGUAUGGGAAUGAAUGUGGUUGCAGUCCAAGCGCAUCACCAGUUAGCUUCUUCACUCCACCGCCGUGUAGGAAUGUGCACAGUAACGGUUCGACUCCAAGAAGUCCUGAAUCUUACCUGAGAGAAGCUGGUAGAACUUACCCAAACACACCAUCCAUAUUCAGGAAAAGACGACCCAGGGUUGUUGUUCAGGAUAACAACAACGCCAAGAAAACAGAUGAAGCUAAAGAGGUUGAUCAAAAGGUGAAUGAUGGUAAGGAUAGUUCAGAGAUUCAAAAUAAUGGAUCAAAUGCUUACAAUCUAUCUCCUCCAUAUCGGAUAAGAUCGAAAAGGACAGCAGUUUUCAAAUCAAGACAGCUUGAGUUUAUAUCUAGAGAGGAAGAGAAAGCUGAUGAUGAAACCAAAUCAUCUGAGAAAGAUAUGUUGAUUGAUGGAGAUUCUCAACUCCUAGGCUAAACAGUGACUAGAUGAUUACACGCUGAAUGUUGUUUCAUUGGUUAUAUUUUUAUUUUUGGGUUAAUGUUAGAGAUGUUAGAUGUAUUUAGUCCAAAGAAUAAUUUACACCUCAUAGUUGAGCUAGGUUUUUUUUUUCCAUAACAAAAAAAAGAUCUUCAGUAGUGGGCCAUAGAAAUUGGUGCAUGUUCUUGAUUAUUUGAUUGAUAUGCGUCUUUGAUUAUUUGAACAUUGAAUCAUUCGUUCACCGAUGUGAACAAUAUCACUCUGCUUUGAAUUUUUUUCUAAAUAGACUUUAUGAUGUCAUUAUUCAAACGGGUAGGUAAUUUACAAAUCAUAAGAUAGUUUCACAUUGACAAAAGUGUUUUAGAUCAAAUCAGCUAUAUUCUUUGGCAACUCGUCAAUCUGAGUACUGUAGUACUGCUCAAUGUCCCGGAGAAUCUUGAUCUCGUCGAUUUUAACAAAGUUGAUUGCAACACCCUUACGUCCGAAACGACCAGACCGUCCAAUACGAUGAAUGUAGAGCUCACGGUUGUUAGGGAGAUCAUAAUUGAUGACAAGAGAAACUUGAUCCACAUCAAUCCCACGUGCAAACAUAUCUGUUGUGAUCAAAACGCGACUUUCACCUGUCCGAAACUGAUUCAUGAUCUCGUCUCUCUCCUUCUGAGGCAUGUCCCCAUGCAUUGAUGAGACAGUGAAGUUGCUGCUCCUCAUUUUCUCACUAAUAUAGUCCACUUUUCGUUUUGUGUUGCAGAAGAUAACAGCUUUAGUGAUGAUAAGUGUGUCGUAAAGAUCACAUAUUGUCUCAAAUUUCCACUCCUCUUUCUCUACAGAAAUAAAAAAGUUUUUAAUUCCCUCAAGAGUCAACUCAUCACGCUUCACAAGUAUCUUCACCGGAUCCGUCAUAAACUUGCUUGUCAUCUCCAAAAUCUCGUGAGGUAGAGUUGCAGAAACCAAGCAAACCUGAAUAUCAGGUGGAAGAUAUCUGUAAACAUCAUAGAUUUGUUCCUUGAAUCCUCUGCUCAGCAUUUCAUCUGAUUCAUCAAGAAUCAAAAGGUUAAUAGCUCUGGUGCCUAGACUUCUCCUCUUUAUCAUGUCAUAGACACGACCAGGUGUUCCGGACACAACAUGGACACCAUGCUCCAGCUUCCUUAUGUCUUCUCCGAGGCUCUUCCCACCAAUGCAUGCAUGCGUCUUAUCUGUUUGUGAAAGCCAGCUCUCUUGUUGGGGAUAAUAUCAAGGCCUGAACCCUGCAAUCAGAAAUACCAACAAAUAAGAUGAGAAUAAAUUUGGAGAUAACUUGGCAGAAAAGUUAAAAUUGGAAUUAGGGUAUGAGGAAGAGAAAACGUACUCUCUAGACGAAAGUGUCAACGACUUGGCAGACGGAGAGAGCAAUCAUAGAGGUCUUUCCCGUACCGGACUGAGCUUGAGCAAUAACAUCUCGCCCUUGGAGAAUUGGCAUGAUCGCCCUCUGCUGAAUGGCCGAGGGCUUCUCGUAACCGUACUCGUAUAAACCACGAAGAACAUCCUCUUUAAGGCCCAUAUCUUCGAAACUCUCGAUGGGAUCGACCCCUUUGGUCGUCUCGAAGUCAUCCAUUGUUCCAACGCCUCUCCUACGGUCUCCACGGCCAGGAUUCGCCACCAUAAUAAUCUAUACCCUAAUCGAUCUCUGUUUAAAAGUUGAAAAGCUUUUUGAUUUUUUGUAUUCAAUAGAAGAAUGUUGUGAGCUCUAAACAACACCAAAGGUCACGUUUAUAUAGCAAAAAUCCAACACCCUUUUCCUAUCAAGAAUAUGUUUCUAAUAAGGAAUACCCCGAUCCGAAACCGACUUUAGCCAUAUUAUAAAGAAAAAUAAAAAAAAAGAACGAAUUACAUACGUGUUAUUGGUUACCGAUUUAAAUAGAGUUUUAGUAAUUUAAAAUAUUGUGGAGAAUCUGUUGUUAUUUAAUCAAGACUUUUAAAAAGUUUGUUAAAGUUAGGUGUUAAUAGUUUAAUAUUUGUAAAAAGUAAUCUAAAAUCUUCAUAAAUUUAGAGUUAUUGGAUUCAUACUUUUAUAAAAAUUCAUUAAAAGUUUGUUUCAAAUAAAAUAAAAGAAUUUAUGAUUGUUAAUGAAUUAAAUUAUUGUGUUAUUGGUUUAUGACUUUCUACGCUUUUCGUUAAAAAAAAUAAAGUCAUGAAAAAUAUCAUCAAAAUAGAGAGAUUGUUUGAAAAGCUAAUCAACAACAUUAUAGAAAAUUCUCAAACAAUAGUUUAGAAUUUUUGAUACUGACACCCAACUUCAACAAACUUUUUAAAGCCUUCAAAAUUCUUGGUAAUUUAAGAAUCAAUAACACACCAAAAAGAAAAGAAAAGACCAAAACAAUAACACUGACUUUAGCAAUAAAUUAAGUGUAAUGGGCCCAUAUCAAGAUGAACAAUGAUGCUUCCACAUGACCAGGGUUACUAACAUCCAGUUUAUAAUACAUUGUUUUGUACUAACUAAAGAGUUUGCAAACCCUUUAACCCUUCUAUGACCAGCGUUAAUAACAUCCAGUUAAGCGUUAAUAAUGAAGCUAAGGAAGGCUACUGUACAAGUUUCAAGGAGAGAAGGAUUGCUUGAAAUUCAUGACCAAUAACGAAUACAUGAUAUGUUACCAGUUACCACCAUUAUGUGAAAAUGUUACGUUAAGAACAAAUAUUUGGAUUGUUAAUUUAUUAAAAAUGAUGUUAAAGAAACAUUAGACUAACAUAGCUUAUUACUGAUUCAUGUCAACACCACAAACUCUCACAACUUGUCUUAUACUCUUAUUAGUAAAACCAUCAAUUCCAUUCCAUCUUUCUCUGUUUCGAUUCCCAUCCGUAACGUUUUCAUUUGGUCAGGCGAAAUUAUGUCAUGAUUUUGACUCAUUAGAGAAUUACCAAGUUCCUGAUUUUGGUAAGAAUAUAUAUAUAUAGAGACAACACCAACGACUUUUCAUACCAUAUUUUAAUCAUUUAGCAAUGACAAGUUGUGACUAGAUAUUUGAGAAUAAAGUGAAAAACAGAGUAAAUGUUACGAGGCUCUUGUUUUGAGUUAAUGUCAUAGAAGAGAUUGAAACAAGAAACUGAAGACAGAGGUAAAUCAUAUAUAGACGAUGUGCCGAAACUUAGAUGAAUCAAACUAACACACUUGCAUCAUUUUAUUAAGCAGAGCCACCAACUCGGGAUUCUCUAAUGCUGCAGUCACACGUUCUUUAUCCCCAAGUUGUUUAUUGACUGCAUUAUAACAUCAAUUUGAGGAUCAAAUUCAAAACAUUUACUUCCACUGCAACCAAAAAAUAAAAAUGAAAGUUUAUACCUGUCGUCUCUUUAUCAUGACUCCCUGGUGCUACUCUCACAUCAACCUGAGAUUUCAUUACAACAAAAUUAGCUUUAAGAUUACAAAGAAUAUUCUUAAUAAACAAAAAUUGAACACAACACAACAACAAUACCUUGAAUCUAGCAGGUAAGCUUUGCACAAGUUUGACUAAGAUGCAAAGACCAAUAUGGGUUGGCAAGUGACAAUGAGGAAGAGUUGGAGUGAAUGUAAUUCUGUAAAAAGAUAGCACAACUUAAUAGAUUGGAGUAAAGAGAAAAAGCUAUUAAUCACAACAUUUGUUUUUUCUUUUUACCUAACGUAACUCUUGUGAUCAUCAACUUCAACUGAUUCUUCAGUAAGAACAUUGAGAUCUUCCAAAGAAAGUUCAGGAUGCUCUGGAUCUUUGAUAUCUCUUAUACGAUUUGUAGACUGUUAAGGGAAACAAAAAAAAGAAGAUGAUCCAAUAACAAUAUAAACAUAACUACGAGAAAGUCAUUGUCUUAGUAAUGAAUAACAAAAAUUAAGGAUAUCAAAAAUCUCGAGCUGAUCAAUUGGUUCUACUGAAAACUCAUCGGUACUGCUCUGAUCAGUACGAUAACGCCGUGUUCUCUUCGGAUAAAUAAUUGGGUUCUUAUUGGUUAAUACAGAAUCCAUGUUUUUCUCUCCUGAACGCAUAAACCCUAACGAUCAAUUAGUAGAAAACCGAAGAAGCUUAUCGAAUGAGACGUGGGAGACCUCAAUAAACCUAAACCUAAAUAUAAUCUGAGUCAUGAAGUUAAUUAUACAAAUCAUAUAAAGGAAAUAUCGGGAAAUACUUAAACGGCGCCGUACUCUCGGUAAUGUAAUUCUCGUAUCCAAUUUUCGUUUUAAUUGUUUCCUUUUUUAAAAAGGAAUAUUUUCUUUUACAUAUACACUAUGGUUUUCCUAUUCGAAAAGUGAACUAAUAUGGUUAAUAAUAAUACAUGGUGGAUUAGGAAUGAUAAUUCCCUAUAUAAACACUUUAGGUGGUAUUGGCAAAAAAAAAAGAAGAAAACUUGAGGUGAGAUUGGUCGAGAUUUCUGGAUACAUAAAGAAGUUAACAGAAGGAACAAGCGCAAGAAAAGGCCAUCCAUACAACUAUCGCAAGUGUGCACUUCCAUAGCCAUGAAUGGAGAAGAGACGACACCUUUUAAAAGAAGACAGAUGACAAUUCUGAUGCUUCCUAAUGAUUUGCUAUUCAACUGCUUAGCCCGCAUCUCAAGAUUGUAUUAUCCAACUCUCUCGUUAGUCUCCACGAGAUUCCGCUCUCUCCUUGCUUCAACGGAACUUUAUCAAACCCGAACCCACCUGGGCCGCACCGAGAGAUGUCUUUAUGUGUGUUUCCGACUAUUUACCGAAUCUGACCAACUACGUUGGUUCACGCUCUGUCAGGGACCAUUUAACUCCAAAAAAAUUUUGGUUCCGAUUUCAUCUCCUAAUUUUCCAUCUGCAUCCUGGUCGGAUGCUGCAAUAGUCGGUCCUAACAUCUAUGCUAUUGGAGGGUUAGUAAAUAAGAAUUAUUCGUCUAGCGUCAUGGUCAUGGAUUGUUAUUCUCACACAUGGCGUGAGGCACCAAGUAUGCAUGUGGCCCGUUUGUCCCACUCUGUUUGUGUCCAUGAUGGGAAAAUAUAUGUAACAGGAGGUUGCAAAAAUCUUGAUUCAACGAAUUGGAUGGAGGUUUUUGAUACGCAGACCCAAACUUGGGAGUUUUUGCAGAUCCCUAGCGAGGAGAUAUUUGGAGGCUCAAAGUACAGAAGCGUAGAGUAUGAAGGAACUGUCUAUGUAAAGUCUGAGGCAAAGGAUGUGACUUACAAGCUGCAUAAAGGUAGAUGGCGAACAGCAGACAUAGCGAUAAAUAAAGGGUGGUGAUGUCCUUCAUUAUCCCAUUAUUGUGUGAUAGAGAACGUGUUCUACCGUUAUACUGAUAGAAGAAUCGAAUGGUAUGACUCCGAAAAAAGAUUAUGGACAACUUUGAAAGGUGUGGAAAAAUUGCGUAGUUUUUCUCGUGUAAACUUGGUGAAUUAUGGUGGGAAAAUGGCAGUUGUGUCGGUAGAGUAUGUGUUCGGUAAGAAGGAGGCAAAAAUUUGGUGGGCGGAAAUUGCGAUUGAAAAACGUCAAACGGGAGAGAUUUGGGGAAUGCUAGAGUGGCUUGACAUUGUGUUUAGAACCAAUGACAAGUCAUAUAGUUUAGAGCGUGCUCUUGCUACUACCAUUUGAUGGCUAUGAAUCAUGACUCAUAAUUGUGUAAACAUAAUGAAUCAUUCACCAACAUAUAUGAACCAAAGGACAAGUCAAAUUGUGUGUAUAAGAUUAUGUGCAUAUCGUAGAGAUUUAUGAAGCAAUUUAAUAGUAAUAUGACUAGAUUACACAAAAAUAAAGUAAUUGACUUUGUUUGCCUUUGCUAAUCUUUUGUUUUUCUCUUUGAAAUUAUCAGCAUUUCACAAGUUUUCUGAUUUCAACAAAUCUAACUAUCAUAGAAGGUUUCUGGUUAUGAAAUGAAUUAUUAAUUUAGGAAUCGAAUCCUUAUGAUGUUUCUCUUUAUCUCGAGACUUUUAAGUUGAGAACAUAUUGUGUAAUGAAUAGUGAGUCUACUCUUUAACACAAAAGCAUGAGCUUUUAAAUUAUUUGGUUAUUGGAUGUCUCUAGAUGCUGAUACAAACGAACGAACUGUAUUCAAAUACAUUAAAAUUAGUGUUGCUUUUAUGUGCAAUAAAAGAAUUAACUAUUAUUUGGAAAAGAAAAAAAAAUACAUUAACACUACAUGUAUGUGUAGGUAAACCGUAUCCCUACAGCUGAGAGUCUCCGACCGCUGUAGCGUAGGGGAGUCAUCUGCUAAAGUCGUUAAGUGAGCAUGUGUGAACCUACGAAAAAACCACUAGUACAUGGAGAAAAUCAAGAGCGUUGACUCUCGCAUAGUCAAUGUCCUGUAAAAUAUUAUGAAUCAUGGAUCUCCAACUCUGAUACACUAAAAUGAAUUGUGUCUUCGCGGCACCGUGCUUAGCGUUUAUAGAUCCGUAAGCUAAAGAAAAAAUAUAAUUUAUGGUAAUGAAAUAAAUUUUCAAUAAUAACUUAUAGUUAUAAUAUAAAAAUGUAGUUUAAUAUUUGAUAAUGUAUUACAAAAAGUUAUGCAAAAUAAUUUAUAAAAUAGUUAGUCACAAAAAUUGUACAAAACUAAAAAAGUCUUAUGUGAUUAACUAUGAUAUGCCUAAUGAUUUGUGCUAGUGCCAUUGUCGCAUGUCGUAAUUUUGUAAUCGGGUCUUUUGUCACCUCUCAUUUUUAAACCGGUAUAAUGCAUGCAUGUUAUUGAAGAAAAAAAAGUUGUAAUAUACAAAAUUUGUUAUUUAAUAUUAAAUUUGUAAUACACAUUUCAAAAGCCGGCUAAAACCGGCGAACCAUCAAAACCCCGGUUCUUCAAGUUUUUAGUCUUUCACCAUUGCUUUUUUGUGUUUUUUUACAGUAAAAUUAGUUUUCUAUCAUUUGCAUUGAUUUAUUUGAUCUAAAUAUUGUGUGAUAGAGAAUGUGUUCUAGAUUGUAAUUGUACAAUGAUCCAAUGGUAUGACUCCGAAAAGAGUUUAUGGACAACUUUGAAAAGUUUGGAAAAAUGGCCUAGUUUUUUUUUAUGUAAACUUGGUGAAUUAUGGUGGGAAAAUGACAGUUGUAUUGGUGGAGCAUAUGUUCGGUAAGAAGGUCACAAAAGUACAGUGUGCGAAAAUUGCGAUUGAAAAACGCCAAAAGAGAGAGAUUUGGGGAAUGGUAGAGUGGUUUGACAUUUGUGUUUACAACCAAUGGAGUCGUGCAUGCUCUUGCUACUACCAUUUGAAGGAUUCAUUCACCAACGUAAGGAAUAAAUCACUUUGUUUUUACUUUUUUUUAAAAAAAAUUAUUCAUUAAUUUUUGUCAUAUUUGAAAUUCUAGAAUUAAUCCAUAAAAUUUUCGAACUCAUUAACCAAGCCAAAUAAAUCCAUAAAAAAUUAAUUCUUCAAAAUUUAGAAACAAUGGAGGACCAAUGAAGAAAACCCAACGAACAAAGAGAUUUAAAACUAUAAUAUUAUUAUCAUUCCACUGGAAGUACAAACUCAUCACAUGGCAGAGUUGCUAGACAUCUAAAAGAUAUGAUCAAAACAAACACAAAAGACAAUGAUCGGCUAAAAGAUAAGCUGAAGCCAUUAUUACACAUAAACCAAACCUAAAAACACCAUCCUAUAUAUGGUUUACUUAUUGAAUAACUUAAUUAAUUAAAGAGACUCGAUUAUCUCUGCUUAUUUAAAAAGGCUUCUUCACUUGCAGGUGCAAGGAUCACACUUGCAGUCAGAUCCACACUUGCAAGCAUCGUUCUCAGCGUUGUUACUCUCCCCUGAAGCCUCGUACUGAUUCUUCAUCGCCGGUGCAACGCCCAAGACAAAAGUCUCAGUUGUGGUUGUCUCGCCGGAGAAUCCCAAGUCAGGGUACAUUUUGCAACUGCAACAAUCGAAAGAAAAAACCCAUCAGUAUCCUAUGAAAACAGAGAUCGUGUAAAUUCAAAAGAGUUGUAUCUUUUUACAAGAAAAAUCUCCAAGAAACCAUUCAUCAAAACAAGAUAUCAUCAUCGAUUCACAGUUGUUGCAUACUUGCAUGCAACGAUUUCACCGGAAAAUAUAAAUACAAACGAGACGUUGGAGACUUACCC
rnacentral:lncRNA from 1 species